UCCUUCUACCGCUUGUUUACUAAAAUCCCAUUUUUGUUCUCUCUCUCUCUUGCCCGACUCGGUUUCAUCUGCAAGUUCCAAUUCACCUCCCGCCUGGACCGGCCCGGUCCCGGUCGUCUUCACCAUCAUGAAUCCUGAAUAUGACUAUCUGUUCAAGCUUUUACUGAUUGGAGACUCUGGAGUUGGCAAAUCGUGUCUUCUUCUGAGGUUUGCGG
rnacentral:misc_RNA from 1 species